UGUGCGCUCCAAGUCAAUCGCUGCGCACCGAGAAUUAGCGUGCCCUGAAAGGCGAACAACGUCAUCGGAGCCGUUGGCGCUUUCUGUCUUACUGGCCACAAACUGAAUGUGCGGCGCUGUACAUUGUGCCGUUACACUAGUACUCCUCAAAACUUCUGCGGCGGCGUGUCUGAGCACCAGUGUCUCCAGCAAGCCAUUCACUCGACGAGCACCGCAUCGCUGGGACGGAAAGGAGCGGCGUUGUGCUCAAAAUCAGAACUUUUCAAGAUUAUCGGGGCCGGGGUUGCUUUCAACAUCCCCACAAAGAAGCAGCAGCAAGGAGCAAAAAGGCAAUAGGACGACUUCAGGGCACGGAAGCAUGAUAGCGAAGGAAUCAUCUGAUCUGAAACUACGACAAGGUAAUUUAGAAAGGCAACUAACCUGUAGGACGAAAAAAGAGGUGUGUAAGCCUUUGGUUCUUCCGCUCAUCGUGCCUCCGUGCCCACUGGAGAGAUACUGUUCGAUGCUUGGUCUUAUCCUUUCCAGACGUGAUGACGUUGACGUCGCAGAUGCGCACUGGCGGAAUUGCAGGUGGCGCCCGAAGCGCACUGUCAGGUCCACGUGAGCUGUUGCCAGCAGGUGGGGUUCUGGAGCAGAGGCGGCGUCAUGAAUUCCGUCCAAGGGUGGAAGGUUAUCCCGAAGGCCAACCACCGAUGCGCCGGCCGCGAAGACAACGACGAACUGCAGGACGAAAAAAGAGAGAGCCGAACUGCGACGAGACAGGAAAUACCAACUUGCAGUGAAGUGCCUGAAAUGAGGCGAAGAAUGAUUCGCAUCAAAGCGACGCCAUUUAGUUCUAGUGGAUCUGUAAAGCAUGGCUUUAAAUCGAGUUUUCAAAGAACUAUGCCCUCAUGCCCGUAGUAAAAGAAGUC